rnacentral:pre_miRNA from 1 species
UCACCUCCACAGGCUGACCGGACCCAGGCUGGGCUGAGCGAGUAUCUCUUCAAAAGGCUCGCCCUCAAGCAGGACUAGGAGC